rnacentral:misc_RNA from 1 species
AAAACUUGUUGAGGAGGCUUCAAGCAGUCAAUUGAAGGAUAAAUAUGGUGAGAAAAUGGCAAAGAUGCAGAGGUUCGAUGAUGAAGCAUAUACCCUGUUUGAUGAACUUUUCUCAUAUGCCUGCCCAAAAUUCAUCACUCCAUCGGCUCCAGAUCUGAAGGAGCCUCUUGCAAACUACAACCAGGAUGCUUAUAGGCUGCAGUUGAAGCUGUUCCUCUAUGAAGUUAAGCAGCAGCAGUUGCUCUCUGGUGUACGAAGUUACUUAAAACUGUACUCUACCAUCUCAACUGCAAAGCUUGCAACAUAUCUGGAAGUUGAUGAACCCACAUUGAGGACAAUCUUGAUGACAUACAAGCACAAAAUGCAUUCAGUUGAUAGUGAUGGAAAGAUAGUAUCCAACGCUGAUGUCGACUUCUACAUUACGGAAGACAUUGUACAUGUCAUAGAGGCAAAGACG